rnacentral:misc_RNA from 1 species
GAUGAAGAACGUAGCGAAAUGCGAUAAGUAAUGCGAAUUGUAGAAUUCCGUGAGUCAUCGAAUCUUUGAACGCACAUUGCGCCCUUUGGUAUUCCGAAGGGCAUGCCUGUUCGAGCGUCAUUUAUCAACCCUCAAGCCCGGCUUGCGGUUGGGUCCCGCCGUGGGCGAUCACGGCGGACCCGAAAGGUAACGGCGGUGCCCGUGGGGCCCUGGACGCAGCGAGCUUCUCGGCACGCGUCCCGGCGGUCCCCGGCGCCGUCUCCACAAACCCACCACGCAGAUUGACCUCGGAUCAGGUAGGGAUACCCGCUGAACUUAAGCAUAUCAAUAAGCGGAGGA